GGAUUGCUUGAGCCCAGGAGGUAGAGGUUGCAGUGAGCCAUGAUCGCACCACAGCACUCCAGCCUGGGUGACAGAGAAAGACCCUAUCUACAAAACACACACACACACACACACACACACACAAAACAGAUGAGAAAACUGAGGCACCAAGAGGUGUUUCUGGAAUCCAAACUUGGCAGGAAGGCUAGGAGCAGGGUUGGGAGCUGCCCUUGUCUCCUCCACAGGCAGGAAGCUUGUCCUCCCUCUCCAGCACCUCAGCUGCCCCUGCCACCCCCACCCCUCUCAGCCCUGACCCUGUGGUCCAGAAAGGCCUCUGGAGGCCAGCUGUGGGUGGCAGGGCCUCUGGCUUACACCAGCGGGCAGCAGGGAGUGUAGUCACCUGCUCACUCGUGUCUGGUGCUCUUUGUGGCUAUAGGAAGCAGAGGACAGGUGCUGGGAGGAGGGCUGGCCUGAGGGGAAACUGAGGCCUGGGACUGCGGGGUCAGGGCUUGGUCUCUGCCACUGAGUUUGCACCUGGCUUCCCCUCAUGCCUGGCCAUUUGGUUCCGGCUCUUGAAAUAGAUCCUCUGCCCACCUGGUAGCUGGCCGGCCAUGGGCCGUGCCACGCCACCUGCCUGCUGCAGCCCAGCCCGGUCACCCCGAAACGCUGACAAAAGCCAGCUGCUCUCCCAGCAGUCGCUCGGCAGGCAGACACCCGGAGGCGUGACGCCUGCCCUCGUCUGGCACCGAGGCUGCCAGGAGGGCGCUGACGCAGCUCUCCCCACUCCCACUCCCAGGGGCUCCGCAGCUCCUUUCUGGAAUGGCUUCCCGAUGAGGUAAUGCAGCUCGGAGCACAGGAGGAGGCCACUGGGAAACGCUGCUGGCCAGGCCCCAGCUCCCCGGGAAGAUGGCUGCCGUGGCCUCCCUGCCCUGCCUGCCCGACGCCACCGCACAAGGGCCUGGCAGGCUGAGAACAGGAGCCGGACUUCAGGCCGGAGGCUUGGCGGCCUCACUCUGGAGUGGCCAGGGGGACCCAGACAUUUACUCAUCUCCCGGCCGAGGUGGUGCAGGCCUCAGCCUGGGCCUGCAGCCUCACUCUGAUCCUUAGAGGCCCCUGCCCUGAGAACACGCCGCCCCCGGGCACACGCGGAGAAACAGAGGCCGUGCCCAGGGUUAUAGCAGGAAUCAAGGCCCUGCGCUGGGCGGGCCCUAGGGCCACAGGGACCAGCAUGGCCCGGCAGCCCCGGACCUCCCAGGUGGAAGGAAGGACCCGGAGAACUGGAAACAUCCUUGCAUAGCAGCCCCCGAGUUGGAGGCAGCCACUCGGCACCUGGCACCUGGCCCAGGGGGGCCUCCUGCGGACUCACGUGGGCUCUGGGAGGUGGAGGAGGGUCACUUCCCCCAGGGGAGAGCGGAGAAGGCUGGCAGGACCCUGCUGUGGGUGUGACUGGGACCGUGCUGGGCCCUGCGUUGGCCAGCAGUGUCCCGAGCGGGCCUCCGCGCCGGCAGGCCCAGCUGGGCCUAUUUCUGACUCGAAUUUGUUGCGAAACGUCGGCAAAUCCCCUGCCCUGGCUGGGCCUCAAUUUCCCCAUCUGCAGACAGGAGGCGGGCGAGAGGGCCCCCUGGACUUCAGGGCCCGUGGGUCUGACGGCCAGGGCUGCAGCUGAAUCUCCGAGUUGGAGAUGCCUGGUGGGGUGCAGCACACCCUGCGUGCACAGAUGAGGGCCGGGCUGGCUCCAGGCGUGCGGGAGGCAGCAGUGGAGCUGGGAUCGGAGUCUGGACUCCUCUGCUGGCCUCGAGUGACCCCGGGGGCCUUCUUGUCCCCCCUCCUUGCAGGAAGCACAGGCACCAGCUCCUGAAAGCAGAACAGCUCCCCUCUGCUGCCCCCUGGUGGCUGCAGUGACACAUGGUGGCCCAGUCCAGAGCCAGGGCACCCCCAGGGUCACCGACACCCUCAAAGUCAUGAGCUCCCCUGGGGCCAUGGGUGUCGUAGGGCUGGGGCCACCCUCUCUGGGAGCCCUGGGUGAGAGUGUCACUUGUGAUAUUUCAUUGAAUCUUCACCCCUCCCACACACAAGAGAGGGAUGAUCAUGUUUGCCGCUUCACAGCUGGGUUGUCAGUUUCAGGGGGCAGAGCCUGCAGGAAGCUGGGGCCGGAGAGGUUUGAAGUCAGAUAUUCCAGUGGAAAGUGCUCCCCUCCCCUCCAGUCAACAGCCACCUGGGGCUUCAGGCUCUAGGAGGGGAGGAGUGGGUGGGGAAGGUCGAGGCUUAUUAUUCUUCGGGGUGUGGGGGUGGUCACUAAAAUGGGACCUGGUGGCCGG
rnacentral:lncRNA from 10 species